rnacentral:rRNA from 1 species
UACGUAGGGUGCAAGCGUUAUCCGGAAUUAUUGGGCGUAAAGAGCUCGUAGGCGGUUUGUCGCGUCUGCUGUGAAAACUGGAGGCUCAACCUCCAGCCUGCAGUGGGUACGGGCAGACUAGAGUGCGGUAGGGGAGAUUGGAAUUCCUGGUGUAGCGGUGGAAUGCGCAGAUAUCAGGAUGAACACCGAUGGCGAAGGCAGAUCUCUGGGCCGUAACUGACGCUGAGGAGCGAAAGCAUGGGGAGCGAACAGG